AACUUUUAGCAAGGGACACUUGGCUCUCGCAUCGAUGAAGAACGCAGCGAAAUGCGAUAAGUAAUGUGAAUUGCAGAAUUCAGUGAAUCAUCGAAACUUUGAACGCACCUUGCGCUCCUUGGUAUUCCGAGGAGCAUGCCUGUUUGAGAGUCAUUAAAUUCUCACCCCCUCCAGUUGUGAUGGGGCUUGGAUAUGGGGGCUUGCGGGUCUUUACUGAUGUAAAGGUCAGCUCUCCUGAAAUACAUUAGCGGAACCGUUUGCAGUCCCGUCACUGGUGUGAUAAUUAUCUACGCUGUGAUGGAUUGCUCUCUGACUAGUUCAGCUGCUAAUCGUCCGUUAUGGAAAAUGUUUAAUGAACUUCUUGACCUCAAAUCAGGUAGGACUACCCGCUGAACUUAAGCAUAUCAAUAAGCGGAGGCU
rnacentral:misc_RNA from 1 species